CUGCUGCAAAUCUCUGAUCCACUGAGCUUCAUUGAGAUAUUUCACUCCAAGAGAGACAAAAUCUGUAAAGACCUGGAGACUCCUCUGUUGAAACCUGAUCCAGUGUACCUGAACCGGAAAGAGACAUUUGGAGUCAUGGACAGCAG